UACAGAGGUGGCAAGCGUUGUUCGGAAUUACUGGGCGUAAAGGGCGCGUAGGCGGCCUACUAAGUCAGACGUGAAAUCCCCCGGCUUAACCUGGGAACUGCGUCUGAUACUGGAAGGCUUGAGUAUGGGAGAGGGGUGUAGAAUUCCAGGUGUAGCGGUGAAAUGCGUAGAUAUCUGGAGGAAUACCGGUGGCGAAGGCGGCAUCCUGGACCAUUACUGACGCUGAGGCGCGAAAGCUAGGGGAGCAAACGGG
rnacentral:rRNA from 1 species